CAAAUGACUCUCGGCAAUGGAUAUCUCGGCUCUUGCAUCGAUGAAGAACGUAGUGAAAUGCGAUACUUGGUGUGAAUUGCAGAAUCUCGUGAACCAUUGAGUCUUUGAACGCAAGUUGUGCCCGAGGCCUUCUGACCGAGGGCACGCCUGCUUGGGCGUCAUGG
rnacentral:rRNA from 1 species